AGCAGCAGCCGCGGUAAUACGUAGGUGGCAAGCGUUGUCCGGAAUUAUUGGGCGUAAAGGGCUCGCAGGCGGUUUCUUAAGUCUGAUGUGAAAGCCCCCGGCUCAACCGGGGAGGGUCAUUGGAAACUGGGAAACUUGAGUGCAGAAGAGGAGAGUGGAAUUCCACGUGUAGUGGUGAAAUGCGUAGAGAUGUGGAGGAACACCAGUGGCGAAGGCGACUCUCUGGUCUGUAACUGACGCUGAGGAGCGAAAGCGUGGGGAGCGAACAGGAUUAGAUACCCGUGUAGUCCCUGUCUCUUAUAC
rnacentral:rRNA from 1 species